rnacentral:lncRNA from 1 species
UUUUUUUUUUUUAUUUCCCUCAUAUUGUUUGCAGAUAUAGUUAUGGUGUUCUUAUGGUUACUAUAUGUAUUUCAUUAUUUUUCUUUUUAUUAAUCACAUUUUGCUAUUUUUAGUUCUCAUUCAACUUUGGGAUAUCUUGGUUUCUUCAGCUUUGAAGAAUAAGUUAAAAUUUUCUUCUGGGGACCAGAUUGAUGGUUCAGUAGUUAAGAGCACUUACCAGAUAGCCCAAGCUGGUCUCCUACCUGUAGUAACCCACUUGCCUGAGCUUCUCCAUGCUAGAGUUACAGGCAAGCAUCAGCUGCAUAGCUAUGCUCUAAGGCUUUUGUGUUUUGCUAGUUUGAGACAGGGUUUCUGUGUAGCCCUGGCUGUCCUGGCACUCACCCUGUAGGCCAGUGCAUGUGCUCCCAACGUCUGGCUUAGGCUGUACGUUUUAAACAAGGUGAAAUGUUUUGCUGGCAUAUUUUUUUUUCAGUUAUUUUAUUGGGUUCUUAUACCGCUAUGUCCCAUCAAAUGGUUAUUCCACCCUCAUCCCUUCCAACCUCCCAACACUAAGUAGGAGAGAAAGGUUAGAGGGGAAAGGGGGCGUAGACCUCUUUACAGGACGUUUUGCUGAUUAGGGACGUUAAGCUCCUUAGGGCAAGUGUAAUCUUCAUCAUCAGGAUACCUCCAGCUCCUUCCUCUGCUCACUGGACAAACAGAAACAACAGCACCAGCAGCAGCAGCAGCAGCCUUCUGGGAACACACGCCCCACCAGGGGUGGGCAGGGGUUCCCGAAUUUAUAGUCUCUCAAAAGUCCCUAGAAUGGCAAAUGUCAAAACUAUCUGCAGCUGGCAGAACCAUGCCCCUGCUAGUGAACGAGGCAAAUCAUAGUCACCUGCUGUGAAGCAGCCUCUUACCCCACACUUGGGACUAAAACGAAAACGUAGUCACAUACCAUAACUGGUUUUUAAAGAAAUGAGAACUCUCGCUACCAUGUUUGGUUGUAGGAAGCUGGCUAUGGUAGCACAUUCCUGUCAUCCCAGUACUUGAGGGACAGAAGCACAAAGACAUAGUGAGCUUGAGGCCUGACUGACCUACGUGAGAUGCUGUUGCAAAGAUGAAAAAAGGAAAAGGAAGCGGAGAGAUCUUUGAUUAGUCAGCCACAUUGAUAGGAAGGAGUAACAGGCAAGAAAUUGAGGACAGUAAAGUGAUGAGAAAGAACUGGUUAAGUGUUGUACUGCAAGGGUCUAGUUAGAUCCUGUGCACAGCAUGCCAUAUGCUUUAGUCAGAGUUAGAUUUAACUCUAACAGUUCUUUCUCCACAUCUGGGGGGGGGGAUCGGAGGGGGUUCCUUUCUCUUUCAGUAGAGGUUGUAUGGUGUGGGGACUCCCUAUAUGUUGCUCAGGUUGGCCUCCAGUUCUUGCCUCAAGAAAUGCUGCUCCUGCCUUAGCCUGAGUAGUUGUGGUGCAGGUGUGUACCACCACUGGCUUUCAUACCCUUUUUUUCUGUUUUGGUUUUUUGAGACAGGGUUUUACUCUGUAGCUCUGGCUGUCUUAGAACCCACUGUGUAGAUCAGGCUAGCCUCAAACUCAAAGAGCUCUGCCUGCCUCUGCUUCCUGAGUGCCGUAUUAAAGGCAGCGCCCCAGCUCCCCGUCCUGUUGCCUUUGCUCCCGCUCUCACCUCCUGUCAUCCCUCUUCCCGUCUCCUUGAUAAACACAGCAGAGGUUUGUUGAUGCCAUAGCAUACAGCAGCUCCGCGGUUAUCAGUAGCUUCGUUGUUUUGGUAAAUCCUUACCUUUUUUUCUCUCCUUUUUAGUAUCUAGCAUUCACAUGUGGCUUAAUCAGAGGUGGUUUGUCGAACUUGGGAAUAAAAAGUAUUGUAACAGCUGAAGUCUCUUCAAUGCCUGCCUGUAAGUUCAGCUUACUUGUCUUACACGUACAUAUCAUCUUUCUCUUUUAAACUUAGAGGAGACUAAAAUGGUUGACACUUUGACUUUCCUGCCCUUUGCCUUGGUAAUGUGUAUUUAUCUUCUCACUCAAGCUACUAACCGAGAAUACAGUUGAGUUGAAUUUUGCUGCAUUACUUUUCUGCCCACUGACAAAUUAGUAGUGAAAUACCCAGAAUCCCCAGCGUGGUGACUCCUUCAAUCCCAGCGUUCGGGAAGUGGAGGCAGGCCAGUCUUGGGGAGUCUGAGGCUUGCCUAGAAGCCAGGGCACAUACAUAGUGAGGACCCUUCUCAAAAUAGAGAAAGAGGGAGAGAGAGGGGAGAGAGAGAAAAAGGAAACAGGAAUGGAGACAAACCUAGGCACCUCCUCAUAAAACAGAUAAUUAUGCAGUGGGAUCGACUUUAUUGAAUGUCUUAAGGACUGUGAAAAGACCUCUGGCAUAGCAAGUUCUUUGAGUGAAACUACUUCCCAAGUGGAAACCAGUAUGCUUGUUUUCCUUGUGCCCGAAAAUCAGAGAAUGGUUCUGUUCCUUUUUUCAGGCAAAUUUCAGGUGAUGAUACAGAAGCUGUAGAGCGAGCUGGCGACUCCUGGGCAGAGCGUUGCACAUCCUGAUUUCACCUCAUCGUUGGUUAUCUGCGUUGGAGCAAAUCGUUAUCUCACCAGAGUCACAUAGACCAAAUCAAAGUAGACACAGGUCCUUUGACCAUGACAGAAACUGACUGACCUAUUCAGUGAUUUCAGAGAACUAGACACCAAGAUGCAAGGCUCUUCAUUUUAAACAUCUUUAUUUCCAUAGGUGAUUAGCAUUUAACCAUCAAUAGGAAGUGAAACUCAGGGUGUGUUGAAUUGCUGUAUUAAAAAAAAUGCACCAAUCAGAAUAGUUUGUGUUCAAAUGACCAAAAUUUGUUGAACUAUAAAUCUGUUUUAGUUAUUUAAAAAAGCAAACCACUAUGUUAAAUUAAGCUUAAUUUUUAUUGUAUUGCUUAUAAUUUAUUUCUGUCGAGAGAAUUCAUAUGCUUAUGUAAGGAUAUCAUUUAUACAUUGUGUAUAUAUGUGUAUAUAUAAAUACAUGCAUUACUGUCUAAAUUACUUGAAAGUUUAUUUUAAUAGACUUGAGUCCUUGAGACCUCCAUUAAUUUAAUCACAGUGAAAUGUAGUUAACUCUACAUUUAAAUGUGAAUUUGGUAACUCUAGUGCCAAAGAAUAUUAGGGGUGUGUGUGUGUGUGUGUGUGUGUGUGUGUGUGUGUGCACUCAUCGUGAGUGCAGGGUUCUGUGCUUCCUGAGAGUGUAGUAGGCCAGAAGAGAGCAUUGGAUGGCUUGGAACUGGAGUUAGAGAUGCUUGAGAGCUGUCCGAUGUGGGCGCUAUGAACUGAGGUCCUCUGCAAGAGCAGUGUGUACUCUUACCAUUUAGCAUCUCUCUCCAGCCCCUGUAUCAGUUUUCUAUCUGUUCUGUUGAUGAAACUCAGGUUGAUUCCUGGCUGGGCAAGUCUAAAUUCCCAGUCCACCAUUUUGUUCACAGCCUAAAAAGGAUUUACUGUUUUCUAAUAAUCAGUGCUAUUCUGCCUGCUGAGACAGACUCUCGGUGUGAUUUUAAUUUACAGCACUCUUCUGACCAGUGUUGGGACUUUCUCAUAUGCUCAUUGGUCACUUGCACAUCAUCUUUUUGAGAACUGUAUGCUCAGUUCAUUAGUCAAUGUAUGUUUUGUUAGUUGUAGCCAAAAGGAAACUUCUUUUAGUAGAAACAAAAGGGUUAAGUUAGUUGAGAUAAUCAAACUGAAUAUGCUUUUUCUUGAGGUUAUAGCAAACUUAAAAGGUUUACAUAUGAAAUUAAAAUCAUAAAGCACUACAGAAAAUAUUAGGUUACUUUUAUGAACUUCUGGUAAAGGCCUUUCCAAAACAAAAGUAGAAAAAAAAAAUGGUAAGGAGAAAUAGCAAAAAGGCUGAACUAAACAUCCACAUUAGUUAGGUUUCCAUUGCUGCGAUGAAAACUAUGACCAAGAACAGCUUGGGCAGGAAAGGGUUUAUUUGGUUUUCAUUCCUUGAACUACAGUCUGCUGAGGGAAGUCAAGCCAGGACUUGAAGGCAGGAACUGAAACAGAAGCCAUGGAGGAGUGAUGUUUACGGGCUUGCUCCUCAUGGUCUGCUCAGCCCAAUUUCUUAGAGAACCCAGGACAGCCUGCACAGUGGUGAUGCCACCCACAGUGGGCUGGCCUCCUACAUCAGCCAUUAAGAGAACGCCCCACAGACUUGCUCACAGCUAGUGUAAUGGAGGCAUUUUCUCAACUGAAGUUUGCUCUUCUUAUAUGACUCUAGCUUGUGUCAAGUUGACAAAUCUAAGCAGCACAUCUUUUCUAAAAUGCUAGGAAAAUAAUGCCCAAGUGCAAGAGUAAAGCUGGACAUUACAUUAAUUCCAUAUACAGCAGUCAACUAAGGUGGAUCAGAGACUUAAACAGAGAAUUUGAAAAAUUGGCCUUAUGAUGUGGUUCAUUUGAUAGUGAACUUGCCUGGUAUCCAUGAAACUCUAAAUUCCAUCACCAGGAAUGUAUAAAUGCCAUGGUGGCAGGGUACACACAAUUCAGCAUUCAGCAGGUGGAGGCUGGGGGAUUAGAAAUUCAAGGUCCUACUCAGUUACAUAAGCUAGGUGAUGAUAGUGAAUGCCUUUAACAUCAGUGAUCUGGAGUCUUCC